UGUUGAGAAAACCCCUAAAACCUUUCGCCUUCUUCAAUUUCGCCGCCGCUGCUGACCAUCACUUCUGAUCCGGAGUCCGACUCUGAUUCCGCGUUUUCUUACACCUCAUCGGAGGAAGUGGAACGAGACGAGAAGAAGGUGUAUCUCUCUCUCUCUCUCUCCGUUCUCCCAACAAGAUAUCCGUCGUCUCCCCCGCUCCCAAUCAUCCUCCACCUCCUCCCGUCUCCUCCAAUAACGACGAACGCGAGGGCGAAGAGGACAGCGAAUAUGACGGGUCCAGUGAUGAAGAAUUUGAUGAAGGAGAGACGGCCUAGCUGGAAAUGAAGCGGCAGCCACAUAACUUGUCAGAUCAUGAUUCCUCCGACUUGGGAAGAUCUAUUUAAUUUUUAUGUUAUGUUUAAAAUAUUCACAUAAGACAGGAGUUGAUUCUUGUUUCCGUAGCAAGAACAAAGUGACCUUGUUAAUUCCUAGGAGUUGAUGCAUCAUCAACAUUCAGAAUCCUUGUUUUCUAACGUUGUUCAUGCUUAUAAUUGAUUUAUGGUUCUCUUCUAUAAUAUUUGGUGCAUUGCUUUGUAUUACCGAAUCCCUUCUUUAUGCUACCUAGACUUGAUUUACAUGCAACUAAAUUAUUUCUAGUAGAUGAAAUUAUCACCAAACGGAUAAGAUAUUUUCUAGUAAAUUUUGAUAUUAUUUUUGUGAUAACUUAAAGUUUUUAGACUGCAUUUAAAUUUUAUCCUAUGCUUAGAGAAAUUUGUAUAAAUAAUUGGUUAUCAUGAUAAAUUACUACAGCAACCACUGUUAAAGUUGGGUAUUAGUAUUGAAGAUGGGUUCAUCAAUGUCUGUAUCUAAUUCAUGGAUUAUGUGUUCCUAGAGAUAGAGAAGGUUCAAUCUUUCUCUUUUGAUAUAGGAUUUGGCGAUGAUAAAAAAAAAAAUGUAUGACUCUCUUGACUUUUUCAAUUUCAAAGUAAUAUUUUCUCGUUGAUAUGCAGAUACCUAUUCAUAUUUACUCUAGGAGUUUGACCUGAUGUUGGUGUCAUUAUUCCAGAGCUUAGUAGUUUGCAAACUCGUUCAGAAGUAAUGGGCUUUAGCUUCUUAGUACACUGGGUUUUCUUUCAACAGAUAAUGAUGGGCACGGUGCAUCACUCUCACUCUCACAAGGACAUAUUGCUGAUUGCUUGCUUUGAUCUCAUUCAAUUUUUGCAAUGAACUGGAUUUAUAUCCCAAGAAUAAACGAUGGGCUUGCUCAAUUCUUAGCAAAUUUUAUUAGAGAAACAGAGGCACGAUAUUUUGGAAAAGAAUGUUGGCAUCACACUGAAUAGGCACGGAGAAAAGUUUAUUAGGAUUUUGGCGAACUCCUUUGUUUUGCAACCUUGUUUGUGUAUGCUUCUUCCUCGUGGAUCUCGCCUGAAGGAAGCACGUUGCAAUGUACGGUUCUUAGGAGAAGAAUAAUUACAGUCAGAAGUGCACCUCAUUUAAGAUAUUAUGGAGUUGAGAAGACGACAUGUCACUGCUCAAUGCUGGGUGGAGCACCAUAGCGAGAAUGACACUGUGCCUUGCUCGCCAAUGAUUUGGAUGGCGUUUGUCAUCUCAUCAAGAGUUCCUUUCACUUGGAGUUCAGUAACAAGCCACUCGAUGUCAUGAUGCAUCCACCCAUUUGAGGCGGCUGGGAGAAUUAUGAAGGUCAAAUCACCAACACGAAUAUCCUGGGGAAAAAAAAAUCUCGGAACUCAUACAAGCGUGCAUAUUUUUCAGAAUGGGUGUCUUACUCUUCAAGAUAUUUUUAUCUUAGAGUUGAUUUUGUUAGCCGCCGAGAUGAGACUUUGCUGACAACAACAGCCCGAUCCUGGCGUGGCGAUAUGCCCCAGUGCCGUUUGUUCUCAAUCGUCCAAAAUAAAAAAACGUGCCAAUGAAGUCCUGAAAGUCAGUCAAUCACGUUGUUGACGACUUCUAAAAUAUUUCUAAAUCACUAUGCCUCAUGCUCAGUGUUUCAAGAUAAGUUCAACAUCCUCAAUGACCGCUAAUAUUUUACUAUAAUCCAGCUGAUGCUUUGCAAAUCGUAUCUCAUAGAUCAAGAAACGUGCAGUAGGAUUAAUUUCUAAAGUUACAUCAUCAAAUAAGAGACUGCACACCAAACUUGAAGAACAAUCCAACGUGAUGAUGGCUCGAGACCUAAUAUCUUGAAUAAGGUUUAUCAUUGGGUCAAGACUGGAUUUCUUUUUAGUUUAUAAAAGUUAUUUUUUUUUAACUAAAAAGCAAAAAUGGUUUUGUCUUAUUUGGUUGAACUAUGGAUCCAGUUCUAUUUGAUCUGUGUCAUCCUCCAUUAUCUGAAGAGUGAAUCAUUAUUGA